GACGAACGCUGGCGGCGUGCUUAACACAUGCAAGUCGAACGGAAAGGCCCCUUUGGGGGUACUCGAGUGGCGAACGGGUGAGUAACACGUGAGUAACCUGCCCUGGACUUCGGGAUAACUUCAGGAAACUGGGGCUAAUACCGGAUAGGAAUCCUUACUGCAUGGUGGGGGUUGGAAAGCUUCGGCGGUUUUGGAUGGACUCGCGGCUUAUCAGCUUGUUGGUGGGGUAGUGGCUUACCAAGGCUUUGACGGGUAGCCGGCCUGAGAGGGCGACCGGCCACAUUGGGACUGAGAUACGGCCCAGACUCCUACGGGAGGCAGCAGUGGGGAAGAUUGCACAAUGGGCGGAAGCCUGAUGCAGCAACGCCGCGUGCGGGAUGACGGCCUUCGGGUUGUAAACCGCUUUCAGCAGGGGCGAAGCUUGUGGUGACGGUACCUGCAGAAGAAGCACCGGCUAACUACGUG
rnacentral:rRNA from 1 species